CAGGAAACCUACUUUUUAUGUGCUAUGCAAAAUAGACAUCUUUAACAUAGUCCCGUUACUAUGGUAACACUUUGCUUUCUGAAUUGGGAGAAAAAAAAAAAAGAAAUGAAGCAACAGCAUUUUAAGGUUCUCAAACCUCCAGUGAAUACCUGCAAAAAUGAGUUAUCACAGAAAUUCUUCUUCUUUCUACUCCCUGAACCUGAAAAUGAUGUUGGUCAUCAGUUGGCUACAUUUUGAGUAUGUGCUAAACUGUGAAAAAAAAUCAGAUGAGUUGAUGAAGAGUUGCCUGCAGGCAGUUGACAGUAGUCUGUGCGUCUGUUUUGUGUGUGGUGCAGAAUAUGACAAUCUACCAACUGUCCCUUUGUCUGAAGUUGGUUCAGCUUUGGAAAGUUACUGUAAAUGCCUUCCUUGUAUUCUCAUCCCUAGUCGCCUGACUUUGGAAUU
rnacentral:lncRNA from 1 species